AUAAACGCUGGCGGCAUGGAUUAGGCAUGCAAGUCGCACGGUGAGGCCCCGCAAGGGGCUGAUCAGUGGCGAAAGGGUGCGCAACGCGUGAACAAUCUGCCCUCGAGAUCGGGAUAGCCCCGGGAAACUGGGAUUAAUACCGAAUGUGGUUGGGGAUCGCAUGGUCUCCGUACUGAAGGCGCAAGUCACUCGAGGAUGAGUUCGCGUCCGAUUAGCUAGUUGGCGGGGUAAUGGCCCACCAAGGCGAAGAUCGGUAGGUGGUCUGAGAGGAUGGUCACCCACACUGGGACUGAGACACUGCCCAGACUCCUACGGGAGGCUGCAGUCGAGAAUCUUCCGCAAUGGGCGCAAGCCUGACGGAGCGAUGCCGCGUGAUGGAUGAAGGCCUUCGGGUUGUAAACCUCUGUCGCCCGGGACGAACACAAUGACGGUACCGGGAGAGGAAGCUACGGCUAACUACGU
rnacentral:rRNA from 1 species